rnacentral:lncRNA from 1 species
GCGAGCCAGGCCCGCGCCUGCACCCGCGCGUGCAAAGUCGCAACCUUAGGUCUCCUCUUCCGGUCCCGUCGGCUCGCAUUCCCCCCGCUCUCCGCCGCUCUCUCCUUGGUGCGACGCGUUUGGAUCUCUUCGUCCCUGCUGCGUCUGCCCUUCGCCGCCGCAUCUCCUAGCCGGUGCCAAGGUAAAGCUCUCCUUCUCUCUUUCCCCCCUCAUGUCCCAAGAUCUAGUCUCUCCCUCUCGUCCCCAACUUCUGGUGACCUGCUCGCCGUCGCUCGCGGCCGCCCGCCAGGCCGUGAGAGCAAGCACGGGACUCCGGCGACAUGUAGACCACGUAUGCACACGCACUGGCCGGGCACUCGUGGCCGCCUGCCCGAUCUGAGAGUUGUCGCCAUCCAGAUCCACGCAUCUGAGCAAGCACGGGGCCUGCUCGAUGUGCCCUUGCCGGUUGAGCAGCUCGAUCUCUUGCUUGGUUCGGCCGCUGGCUUUGUAGAGGGCCGAUCUAGCUGUGAGAUCCUAUUGAUUAUAGAUGAUUCUGCAUGUUUUUUUUUUUGGUUAACUUCAUGAGUAAUUUGUGCAUAUUUUUCUUUUGAUUUGAUCAGGAAAACGAAGAACAAGAGAUCAGCUAGCGAGGAAGAAAAACAAGAGAGACAAGCUAGUUUUGUUUUGUAUUUGUGCUGUUGGAAUCAAUAGAUCAGCUAGUUAGAGCAGAUAUAUAGACAGUAAUAAAGUGCCUUCGGAGCUUGUUAUUCUGUGUAUAUGCAAAAUAUAGGACCUCAUAAAUGCUGAUAAUGGAAUACACAUAGAAGUACAUGGAUUUUCAUUUGUAUUCUUUCCCUUUUUAGCUGCCUCUUUGAUUCAAAGGAUCUUCAUAUGAAAUUUGCAAGAUUCAGAAAUUAUGAUUUUUUAUCUGUAUUUGAUCAUAUUACUUUACUUCAAUCAGCAAAGAUAUCUGAGUUGGAGCAUG